CUUAGCCACAGCCAGAAGCUGCCCUUCUCAGCCUCCUUGGCCGGCAUCGCUUCCUAACCCUCCAGCAUCCUUCAAUAGAUGCCAAGUAGAUGUUCCCAUGAAGGCUCACCAACCCACCUCCACUAGGAUCUCGGCCAGCUUGCACCAGUCGUACUGCCCUUGAGCUCAGGCGAUCUACAACAUAACAUGCUGCAGACUGGCUCUUGCAGCACCAGAGAGGGAUUUCCUCGUCAUCGGCAUACCACCGGGAAAGGAUGUCAGGGCUUGGGCGAGUAUCACAGGCCCGAAAAUGAUCCAGAGCUGUGCUAUAAACGGAAAAUGAUGUGGCCCCCACAGGCCCUAGCAAGCCUCGACCCGCUCAUGGAUCUCAUCGGCAAGAUAAGUGGAGGACAGAUAACGUUGGCUGGCUCCACCCCCUUUUGUCAUUUUUGGGAUGGGGGCGGGGGUGAGAGCAGGGCAGGAUGUCAGAGCGCGUGUGACCGAGGGAACAUCGCGAAGAACAUUACGGGAUUUAAUAAGUGGCAUGUGGGUGGUCUUACAGGUCACGCUGUCUAUUAGUUUGAAGUGGGCAACGCCCGUUUUGCCACGUACUUCAGCAGCUCAGCCCCAGAGCAGACGGGCCCGUUGUAAUGAUUCAUUCAUCACCACACAAACAUGCCCCCCACGACACGCAGCACGGUGCUGGGAAACCUCUCGCCUCCGAUACCUCGCUGUCCCAGCCACACCAGGUGACAGUUAAUAUUCUCCUCAUCCCCUGCAGUCCAAGACCUGGAUUCUGAACACCUUCAAUAUCAUCCUCGCAGGAAAAAAUGAGCUAUAAAUAUUUUAAAUAGGCUAUAUAAUAAAAUCUAAUUUCCAAAAUUACCCUGGGUACCUUGACAAAUUAUUCCUUUAUACUGGUACGCGUGCACUGAAUUAUAUUUUAGCUAAAUGUAAAAUGGUUUAGCUGUAUUUAUACGUGACAUCUGAUAUAAAAUGUAACAAUUUUUAUGAAUGGAUUAUCCGCUUAGUUGGUCUUGUGGUUACAGUUACUAUAGGCGACACUGUAGUCAGGGAAGGGCUACGGGUAUUUAGCUAACUUCAUACCUGAUUAAUAGCGUGUUUCCGUUUCCCCACCCCCUCAAGGACUCCCCAGUGACCAUCUGGCUUCCUGGUCCCGCCUCACUGGCUGAAGCCCCCCCCCCUACCACACCUGCUCUACCAUGACCCAGCAGGUUUCCACGACAACCUUAUAAACACAGCAGAUCCGGAAUGUAAUAAUCCCGCAGGAUGCGAUCACUGAGGCAAAUAAGCUUGGCCGUGACGCUUUGCCUCUCCCACAGCCUUAGUCUUUGGUUUCCUUCAUUAAGGCUGAGUUUCAGUGAAUCUUCAGUGAUGGCCAUUAUUAAAUACCUGCAAGUUCACUGUGCCCUUUUCUCCGAAGCCCCUGUGGCCAGCCUCCCUGCCCUCUCAGGGGUCCCUCUGAUUCCGAUCCCCCAGGGCGUCCCUCCUUCCCGGCUGGGAAGCUGUUUUUCCACGUUGCUGCAGCCUGGGUUUCUCCGGUAGUUUCUCAGCCGCUGAAUCACAGGGAUUCCCUCUCAAAUAAGCGUGACGAUCCACUCCGAAGAAACAUCUAAUCACUACUGGAACUGUAGCAUAUAACUGUGGUCAACAUUUGUACCAUUUAUAAUUAUAAUUUGUUUGUAAUUUUACUGGUAUUUGUACAGCCUUUAUGGGUUUUUUUAAUUUUAGAUUCAUUUCUGGUCAGUAGUUCUGCAUCACUAUUUAAUUUCCCACUUGGACUUGUGAUGUUUGUAUUCGUCUGGUUACUCAUCCAUUAAUCCAUCCAUCCAUCCAUCCAUCUUGUAACUGCUUAUCCUGUAUAGGAUCAUAGGGGACACAAGGCCGGUGAACAGCCUGCAUAGGAUGGCAGUGGCCCUGAUCAUCCAUCCACCCAUCCAGCCAUCAAUCCAUGAAUUUCCUAAGCUCUUCAUCAGUACAGGAUUAUUAAUCAUACUUUGCCUCCAAUCAUUUUAUACCAAUGACCAGAGUGAUUUUUAAUCAGCUUACCACAGUCACAAUUCUCUGCUUUGCAAUUCAAUAUAAAAUAGAACAAAAUUGAUUCAUUUAAUUGAAAUGGUCAGUAUAACCAGGGACGGAUUAUGGGUUGUGUGGGCCCCUGGGCAAAACGUUUGCGAGGGCCCCCAGCACCACCACCAC